GAUGAAGAACGUAGCGAAAUGCGAUACUUGGUGUGAAUUGCAGAAUCCCGUGAACCAUCGAGUCUUUGAACGCAAGUUGCGCCCGAAGCCAUUAGGCCGAGGGCACGCCUGCCUGGGCGUCACACGUCGUUGCCCCCCCAUCUACUCCUUCGGGAUUGCGGGGGGCGGAUGAUGGCCUCCCGUGCGCCUCGCCGCGCGGUUGGCAUAAAUGCCAAGUCCUCGGCGACGCACGCCACGACAAUCGGUGGUUGCGAAACCUCGGUUGCCCGUCGUGUGCGGUCGUCGCGCAUUGAGGGCUCGAAAAAAUUGCCGGGUUCCGGCUCGGCUUUCAACGCGACCCCAGGUCAGGCGGGGUUACCCGCUGAAUUUAAGCAUAUCAAUAAGCGGAGGA
rnacentral:misc_RNA from 1 species